rnacentral:miRNA from 1 species
UAGCGUGGAUCUCUAUUCCUUG